rnacentral:rRNA from 1 species
UGGGGAAUCUUCCGCAAUGGACGAAAGUCUGACGGAGCAACGCCGCGUGAGUGAAGAAGGUUUUCGGAUCGUAAAACUCUGUCUUUUGGGGCGAACGUGAGUAUGGUGAACAAUCAUAGUCAGUGACGGUACCAAAGGAGGAAGCCACGGCUAACUACGUGCCAGCAGCCGCGGUAAUACGUAGGUGGCAAGCGUUGUCCGGAAUUAUUGGGCGUAAAGAGCGCGUAGGCGGGAUAGUCAGUCUGUUGUAAAGUGCGGGGCUCAACCCCGUGAUGGCAAUGGAAACAGCUAUUCUUGAGUGCAGGAGAGGAAAGUGGAAUUCCCAGUGUAGCGGUGAAAUGCGUAGAUAUUGGGAGGAACACCAGUGGCGAAGGCGACUUUCUGGACUGUGUCUGACGCUGAGGCGCGAAAGCCAGGGGAGCGAACGGGAUUAGAUACCCCGGUAGUCCUGGCCGUAAACGAUGGGUACUAGGUGUGGGAGGUAUCGACCCCUUCCGUGCCGGAGUUAACGCAAUAAGUACCCCGCCUGGGGAGUACGGUCGCAAGACUGAAACUUAAAUGAAUUGACGGGGUCAUAGCUGUUUCCU